AUGAACGCUAGCGACAGGCCUAAUACAUGCAAGUCGAGGGGCAUCGGGGCGUAGCAAUACGCUGCCGGCGACCGGCGGAUGGGUGAGUAACGCGUAUGCAACCUACCUUCAGCAGGGGGAUAGCCCGUUGAAAGACGGAUUAAUACCCCAUAACACAGGGGCCCCGCAUGGAGAUUAUUGUUAAAGGGAUGCUUCCUUCGGGGAGUAUCCGGCUGCAGAUGGGCAUGCGUUCCAUUAGGUAGUUGGUUGAGGUAACGGCUCACCAAGCCUACGAUGGAUAGGGGAACUGAGAGGUUGGUCCCCCCACACUGGUACUGAGACACGGACCAGACUCCUACGGGAGGCAGCAGUGAGGAAUCUUGGUCAAUGGACGGAAGUCUGAACCAGCCAUGUCGCGUGAAGGAGGACGGCCCUAAGGGUUGUAAACUUCUUUUGCAGGGGAAUAAAGUAUUCUACGAGAUGGGAUAUUGCAAGUACGCUGCGAAUAAGGAUCGGCUAACUCCGUG
rnacentral:rRNA from 1 species